AUGCUCUUGGCUGCCAAAAAUUAGAGAGAGAGAGGGACGUGAGCUAGAGAGAGAAGGAGAAGAAGAAAGAAAGGAAGAAGAAGGAGAAGAGAAAACCAACUCUAGGGCUUGAACAAGGGGUGAUAAAGUUUGGGUAUUGGAAAAUCAAGAAAGGUAGCAAAUAGGUUUCUCUAUGGCAUGCAAGGUGAUGUGGAGAGUUCUAUCGUCAUGGUGUGUAUGGCGUGGGGGCAUCCUAUGGAUGAGAAACGAUAAGUUUAAACUCCAUUUUCUUUUAAUAAUGUUAUGUUAAAUUGGACUUUCUAAACUUAUCAGUGGGACUUGAACUUUGGUGGUUUUUAAGAACUUUGCAUGAAAAUUUCUAUUUUCUUUUAAACUAUUGGGCCUAACUUGCAUGUUUUAGCAAGACCCCACUCGAAUUUUAUAAUAAGUGGCAUUUCUCUUUUAAACCCAUGAGUAUGUGAACGUUUUAUAAAGUACUAGAUUAGGGUGUUUUACAAACUCUAACAUGCUUUUAUUAUAACAUUAUUUCAAGAUUUCUUUUAUGCAAAAAUAAAGCAAGUAAAUCUAGGCCUAAGGCAUGCUUGGUCGAAACCCUCAUGCAUCAACCUUUCCAAUUUCUUUUUCUUUCACCUCACAUAAAAUGCACCCAACCAUGUUUCUAGAGAAAUAAAUAAAAAAUGCCAACAUAAAAAAGAAUACCUAAGAACUCUCAUCACAAUAGUAAACAACUCCAACAAAUAAAUCAAUCAAUAAUGUUACAAAACCACAAAAAUUAUCAGCACCUCAAAACAAUGAUAGAUCAAGGACAAGGGUUAGAGAUUCUAAUACCUCUCUUGAUUGUAGAAUCAAGAACACAAAAGUUAUGACCAACCCUCUUGGAUACCCUAUAAAUUUUGAAAUCCACAACAAAGAGAAAGGAAAAAUGUUCUUAGAAUUUAAGGAGAUGAGAGAAUAACUUAGAGGAUUCAAGGUACUAAAACAACAGAAAAACAAAAUACCUAUACCCAAAAUAUCUUUCUUCUUCUUCUCCUUCUUUCUCUUCUCCCUUCUUCCUUUCUUCUUCUCCUUCGCUCUCUCUCUCUCUCUCUCUCUCUCUCUUUACACGAUAUUCCCAAUGCACAAGUAAGACAAGAGCUCACUUAUUUCCCUUCUUAUUCUAGCCAAAUAAAAACCUAGAAUCAAUUACCCAAUCUCUCUCUUAUCCUUUCCUAAUUUCCCUGUCCAAAAUCAAUACAAUAAAACCCUUGACUUAUCUAGAAAAUAAAUAGAGUAAUUAGGAAAUAAGAUAUUCCUU